rnacentral:tRNA from 1 species
GCCGACAGCGGAGUGGUUAACGCGAUGCCCUGCUAUUCAUAGUCAGGCAUUUCCUUCGGGAGCGUGUGUUCGAAUCACACAGGUGUCG